rnacentral:lncRNA from 1 species
AAAAAUGUACAGUAUAUGGAAAAAUCAGGAAAAGUAUGUGUUCUAUUUGUCUUCUAGAUAUCUCUUCAAGUUUUCCCCUAGAGAUGCAAUUGUUUUCUAAGAGCUUUUUGACAUGAACAGAGUAGUUUCUCUAUUGUGGGCACCUUUAUGGAAAGUGGAAGGCCAAGAGAGGAUGGCAGGCUGCGGGCUAUCGGAAGAUGCCUUCUUCUCUUCUUUCUUUUACAACUACAGCUCCUCCUGGGAAACCUCCUACAACCAGGUAAGAGCCCCGUGGCUAGAUGCUAUUUCUUAUCUUUCUCUCUCCCGCACCCCCCCCCUCCACCUCGGUCCCCUCCUCUCCUCCCUGUCGCGAACCCACUUAGCACUCCACGGGGAUGCAAAAGGCUGGAGAGAGAAGUGGGGGGUGGCGGCGGCGAAGUGGGUUGCUCAGUCUGUGUAUGUGUUUCUGCAAAACGGAACGUCGUGGAAAGGGGGAAAGGAACGAUAGCUUUCCAAUCGUGAUGGGUCUUUCUCGCCCCUCCCUCUCCCGCCCUCCCCAAUAUUCUAUCAAUUUCACAACAACCCCCCCCUCCCAUAUUACUACCCCCCCAACCGAAAUUCAGAGGAUGGAGCUGGUGCGUUACCCCGAACAACUCCAGGCACAACAAGGCAACUCAAGCGAAACCUCUUAAGUCUCCCGUGCUUUUUGCCCGUUCUUUUUCGCUGCCUGGUUGCCUGUUAGUUGGGUCCUGGGGGUGGGUGGGAUCCAAGCCCCAGACUACUUGCUGGCAGUGGAACCUCUCCCGUUUACUCUGUCCCAUUCCCACUCCCCCCUUCCAGCCCCUAACCCGUUUCUUUCCCUAAAAUGGCUGCAUAUGCAAGUAAAGCAUCUCUGACCCCGUCUGGGUGGGAGUAGUUGAGGCUUCUCUCUACGCCCCCGCACCUAUCCCCCUCCCACCCCCACUUAACUUUGAUGACUGUGCAAUGCAGUCUGGCUGCAUCCCUUCCCCGGGAGCUGCUCUCUGCCUCUAGGUAUACAUGUCAGUCUGCCGGGGGGGUGGGGGGGUUGUGCCAGGGAGAGGGCAGAGUCGUCGAAGUGAGUGGGGAUACCGUGAAAAAGGGGGGAAGCAGACAGAUGGGGUGUCCAAACCCGGUGGGUACCUGGAGAAGAGAGCAGGGUGCAUCGUGUCUCCGGGUGUAAAAGCUAUUCUGGGAGCCUAGGAGAGAGCCCGAUUAGGGGGGUGGGGGUGGGGGUGGUUGAAAAAAAAAGCCUUUUAAUUAAAUAACUGUUGUAGUCUGCUGCCCCCACUGCUUGUUUGGUGAAAGUCUCCAGGCAUCUGUCAUCUGUAAACUACACUGUGAAGUAGGGAGGGAGGGGACGAGGUAGGGACCGGGAGGAAGGUAGAGAGGAAGUGUGUAUGUGUGUGUGUUGUGUGUGUGUGUAUGCAUGUUGGAGGGGGUGGAGGAAAGAGGACUGGCGAAGGGAAAAGUUAAAGCCUUAGGAAAAA